rnacentral:rRNA from 1 species
AUUGAACGCUGGCGGCAGGCCUAACACAUGCAAGUCGAGCGGAUGAAGGGAGCUUGCUCCUGGAUUCAGCGGCGGACGGGUGAGUAAUGCCUAGGAAUCUGCCUGGUAGUGGGGGAUAACGUCCGGAAACGGGCGCUAAUACCGCAUACGUCCUGAGGGAGAAAGUGGGGGAUCUUCGGCCCCCACGCUAUCAGCUGAUCCUAGGUCGGAUUAGCUAGUUGGUGGGGUAAAGGCCUACCAAGGCGACGAUCCGUAACUGGUCUGAGAGGAUGAUCAGUCACACUGGAACUGAGACACGGUCCAGACUCCUACGGGAGGCAGCAGUGGGGAAUAUUGGACAAUGGGCGAAAGCCUGAUCCAGCCAUGCCGCGUGUGUGAAGAAGGUCUUCGGAUUGUAAAGCACGUUAAGUUGGGAGGAAGGGCAGUAAGUUAAUACCUUGCUGUUUUGACGUUACCUACAGAAUAAGCACCGGCGAACUUCGUG